rfam:Ricinus communis ctg_1100012292646, whole genome shotgun sequence.
UGCCUAUGAUGAGUUUGAAUGCACGUAUUAUCAGAUAUUUUUAUGAUGAUAUUACCUAAUUGUCACUACCUCUGAGGCA